rnacentral:rRNA from 1 species
AUUGAACGCUGGCGGCAUGCCUUACACAUGCAAGUCGAACGGUAACAGGUUAAGCUGACGAGUGGCGAACGGGUGAGUAAUGUAUCGGAACGUGCCCAGUCGUGGGGGAUAACGUAGCGAAAGCUACGCUAAUACCGCAUACGAUCUACGGAUGAAAGCGGGGGAUCGCAAGACCUCGCGCGAUUGGAGCGGCCGAUAUCAGAUUAGGUUGUUGGUGAGGUAAAAGCUCACCAAGCCUGCGAUCUGUAGCUGGUCUGAGAGGACGACCAGCCACACUGGAACUGAGACACGGUCCAGACUCCUACGGGAGGCAGCAGUGGGGAAUUUUGGACAAUGGACGCAAGUCUGAUCCAGCAAUGCCGCGUGCAGGACGAAGGCCUUCGGGUUGUAAACUGCUUUUGUACGGAACGAAACGGUGAGCUCUAAUACAGUUUGCUAAUGACGGUACCGUAAGAAUAAGCACCGGCUAACUACGUGCCAGCCGCCGUAAUAC